GAGCCCGUCUGGAAUCUCCCCGCUCUGACUCCCUUCUGCCUCCCACGUCCACCCUUAACAAGGACGCUUGUGAUCGCACCGGGCCCGCCUGCAGAACUCGGCCGACCCUCCCAGAACACCUGCAGUGGCCACACCGCCGUUGAUGGUUUUCUCAGCGAGGACUCUCUAUCUCCCGCCUGGCUAGUAGCAGGCCCCCAACGCUUUGCCGCAGACCCGGCCACCCAGAGUCAGUCCAGGCUGGAGUGUUUAACCCAUAGCUUCAGCUGGAAGGCCGAGGCCUCGCGCCAUUCAUCCAAAGGCUCUUUUGGUCUUUGUCCCCAAACAACUUCUCCCUGGGAAAAAGAAGCCGAGGUCACGUAUCCUCUGUAGAUGCCUAGCCCUAACCUACAGACCAAGAGGAUGAUCGCUUCACGUUGCCAACGUUUAUUUAGGUCCAAAUUUUGCCGGGGGCGCUCGCAUACGAGGCUCUAUUCAUAAGCGCUCCAGUCACAGCCCACAAAGAGUGACAACGAUUGCCACGUGUUAUUUGUACACACCAACGCACGCGUUUAUAAUCAGCGCAUUUGUGGCGAGUUUUGUUAUUUGCCCAAAGAUGGCUAUCACGUAAAUAAGGUCAUGUUACCAAAUUUCAGAAUACCGGGUUACCCGCGAGAUUUUGUGUGGCAUCAUUCUUUUCCCUCCCCUCCCCAAUAUUGUAAAAAGGCCACAGAUCUCAACUGAUGAGCAAUGUAUGAACAAACCUCGAGGACUGUAAAUCAUUAACAUUAAUCAUAUGUUCGUUAUAGUCCUCAAAAUAGAAAUAUUCUGCACCGCAUGCCUCACAAAAGCAAGCACAGAGUGCAAAGUUAUGAUAAAGCUCUCUGUCAGCAAGUGUAAACUCUUACAAUACAAUCCAGAAACUAAAUGCAAUUACCAGUGUCACUGCUUACAGUAAACACAUAAUGUGCAUAUAAUGAAGAAAAGCAGGAGUCAGAUUAAAAUAGAAUUGCAUCUAGAAAAUUUUCUUUAGGGAAUAAAGCUUCUUCUGGGGUUGA